GAGGAAUAUUGGUCAAUGGGCGAGAGCCUGAACCAGCCAAGUCGCGUGCAGGAAGAAUGUCCUAUGGAUUGUAAACUGCUUUUGCAGGGGAAUAAAGUGAGCCACGUGUGGUUUUUUGUAUGUACUCUGCGAAUAAGGAUCGGCUAACUCCGUGCCAGCAGCCGCGGUAAUACGGAGGAUCCGAGCGUUAUCCGGAUUUAUUGGGUUUAAAGGGUGCGUAGGCGGGAUAAUAAGUCAGUGGUGAAAGUUUGCAGCUUAACUGUAAAAUUGCCGUUGAAACUGUUAUUCUUGAGAGUAGAUAAGGUAGGCGGAAUGUGUUGUGUAGCGGUGAAAUGCAUAGAUAUAACACAGAACCCCGAUUGCGAAGGCAGCUUACCGGGCUACAUCUGACGCUGAUGCACGAAAGCGUGGGGAUCAAAC
rnacentral:rRNA from 1 species